rnacentral:rRNA from 1 species
GAGUUUUCGAGCUCGGCUCGACUCUCCCACCCUUUGUGAACGUACCUCUGUUGCUUUGGCGGCUCCGGCCGCCAAAGGACCUUCAAACUCCAGUCAGUAAACGCAGACGUCUGAUAAACAAGUUAAUAAACUAAAACUUUCAACAACGGAUCUCUUGGUUCUGGCAUCGAUGAAGAACGCAGCGAAAUGCGAUAAGUAAUGUGAAUUGCAGAAUUCAGUGAAUCAUCGAAUCUUUGAACGCACAUUGCGCCCCUUGGUAUUCCGGGGGGCAUGCCUGUUCGAGCGUCAUUACAACCCUCAAGCUCUGCUUGGAAUUGGGCACCGUCCUCACUGCGGACGCGCCUCAAAGACCUCGGCGGUGGCUGUUCAGCCCUCAAGCGUAGUAGAAUACACCUCGCUUUGGAGCGGUUGGCGUCGCCCGCCGGACGAACCUUCUGAACUUUUCUCAAGGUUGACCUCGGAUCAGGUAGGGAUACCCGCUGAACUUAAGCAUAUCAAUAAGCGGAGGAAGAUCAUUACCGAGUUUU